GGACUUUGAUACAACACAGUGGGUACACGCUAGUGGUUGCUCAACUUGGGCUACCAGAGCCUAGCCAGGGCUGGAAACCAGAGCCUGCUGCUCUCCUCUCCCUUCCUCCCUUCUCAGCUGAGCCCCAGCUUCCCAGGCCAGCAGGACCUACCAGGGGACAGUGCCCUUCCAAGCAACGGAUCGCCCAUUGCAAUACUCUGUGACUCCAC
rnacentral:lncRNA from 1 species